GACGAACGCUGGCGGCGUGCUUAACACAUGCAAGUCGAACGGAAAGGCCCUGCUUUUGUGGGGUGCUCGAGUGGCGAACGGGUGAGUAACACGUGAGUAACCUGCCCUUGACUUUGGGAUAACUUCAGGAAACUGGGGCUAAUACCGGAUAGGAGCUCCUGCUGCAUGGUGGGGGUUGGAAAGUUUCGGCGGUUGGGGAUGGACUCGCGGCUUAUCAGCUUGUUGGUGGGGUAGUGGCUUACCAAGGCUUUGACGGGUAGCCGGCCUGAGAGGGUGACCGGCCACAAUGGGACUGAGAUACGGCCCAGACUCCAACGGGACGCAGCAGUGGGGAAUAUGGCACAAUGGGCGGAAGCCUGAUGCAGCAACGCCGCGUGCGGGAUGACGGCCUUCGGGUUGUGAACCGCUUUCGCCUGUGACGAAGCGUGAGUGACGGUAAUGGGUAAAGAAGCACCGGCUAACUACGUG
rnacentral:rRNA from 1 species